rnacentral:rRNA from 1 species
UACGUAGGGGGCAAGCGUUGUCCGGAUUUAUUGGGCGUAAAGAGCGUGUAGGCGGCUAGGUAGGUCCGUUGUGAAAACUCGAGGCUCAACCUCGAGACGCCGGUGGAAACCAUCUAGCUAGAGUCCGGAAGAGGAGAGUGGAAUUCCUGGUGUAGCGGUGGAAUGCGCAGAUAUCAGGAGGAACACCAAUAGCGAAGGCAGCUCGCUGGGACGGUAUUGACGCUAAGGCGCGAAAGCGUGGGGAGCAAACAGG